UUGAACGCUGGCGGCAGGCCUAACACAUGCAAGUCGAACGGUAACAGAAAGCAGCUUGCUGCUUUGCUGACGAGUGGCGGACGGGUGAGUAAUGUCUGGGAAACUGCCCGAUGGAGGGGGAUAACUACUGGAAACGGUAGCUAAUACCGCAUAACGUCGCAAGACCAAAGAGGGGGACCUUAGGGCCUCUUGCCAUCGGAUGUGCCCAGAUGGGAUUAGCUAGUAGGUGGGGUAAAGGCUCACCUAGGCGACGAUCCCUAGCUGGUCUGAGAGGAUGACCAGCCACACUGGAACUGAGACACGGUCCAGACUCCUACGGGAGGCAGCAGUGGGGAAUAUUGCACAAUGGGCGCAAGCCUGAUGCAGCCAUGCCGCGUGUAUGAAGAAGGCCUUCGGGUUGUAAAGUACUUUCAGCGGGGAGGAAGGGAGUAAAGUUAAUACCUUUGCUCAUUGACGUUACCCGCAGAAGAAGCACCGGCUAACUCCGUGCCAGCAGCCGCGGUAAUACGGAGGGUGCAAGCGUUAAUCGGAAUUACUGGGCGUAAAGCGCACGCAGGCGGUUUGUUAAGUCAGAUGUGAAAUCCCCGGGCUCAACCUGGGAACUGCAUCUGAUACUGGCAAGCUUGAGUCUCGUAGAGGGGGGUAGAAUUCCAGGUGUAGCGGUGAAAUGCGUAGAGAUCUGGAGGAAUACCGGUGGCGAAGGCGGCCCCCUGGACGAAGACUGACGCUCAGGUGCAAAAGCGUGGGGAGCAAACAGGAUUAGAUACCCUGGUAGUCCACGCCGUAAACGAUGUCGACUUGGAGGUUGUGCCCUUGAGGCGUGGCUUCCGGAGCUAACGCGUUAAGUCGACCGCCUGGGGAGUACGGCCGCAAGGUUAAAACUCAAAUGAAUUGACGGGGGCCCGCACAAGCGGUGGAGCAUGUGGUUUAAUUCGAUGCAACGCGAAGAACCUUACCUGGUCUUGACAUCCACGGAAGUUUUCAGAGAUGAGAAUGUGCCUUCGGGAACCGUGAGACAGGUGCUGCAUGGCUGUCGUCAGCUCGUGUUGUGAAAUGUUGGGUUAAGUCCCGCAACGAGCGCAACCCUUAUCCUUUGUUGCCAGCGGUCCGGCCGGGAACUCAAAGGAGACUGCCAGUGAUAAACUGGAGGAAGGUGGGGAUGACGUCAAGUCAUCAUGGCCCUUACGACCAGGGCUACACACGUGCUACAAUGGCGCAUACAAAGAGAAGCGACCUCGCGAGAGCAAGCGGACCUCAUAAAGUGCGUCGUAGUCCGGAUUGGAGUCUGCAACUCGACUCCAUGAAGUCGGAAUCGCUAGUAAUCGUGGAUCAGAAUGCCACGGUGAAUACGUUCCCGGGCCUUGUACACACCGCCCGUCACACCAUGGGAGUGGGUUGCAAAAGAAGUAGGUAGCUUAACCUUCGGGAGGGCGCUUACCACUUUGUGAUUCAUGACUGGGGUG
rnacentral:rRNA from 1 species